AGGAAAAGUUGUGUUUACAACAAUUUAUCAUUCAAACAUAAUAUUGUUUACCAACUGAACACUGAUAUCCAAAAAAAAAAAAAUACAUUGUUUAUCAAGUUAAAAUAGAAGAACACUAAUUUCAAUCCACAUUGAUUUCAAUCCAUCUCUGCUUCCUUGGUAGUUUCCUCUUCUUUUUUCUUCUUUUUCGUUGCUUCCUUGGCAGCUGUCACUUUUGUUCAAUUCUCCUUGAAAAUGUACGGUCAAUUGCUCAUCAUUCUAGACUACUUUAUUCCAACUUGAUUCCUGAAAAUAUAAUGGAGCAGUUAAAUACUUUAGUUUUGAAUUAAGAGAAGAGAUUUUUUGGACAUACCCCCAUUUGAAAGUCGAAAUUUGCGAUACCCCCAUUUGAAAAUUGUUUUGCCAUUUCAAGAUGUGGUGUUAUCUUAGCCGUCCAUCAUAAAACUAACCUACGGCUGUAAAGAGCUUCUGUCUUGAAAUGUGGGGUAUCUCAAAAAAAAUUUCAAAUGAGGGGUAUCUCAAAUUUCGACUUUCAAAUGGGGGGUAUGUCCAAAAAUCUCUUCAGAGAAUUUGAAGUUGAUCAAUAUGUUGAUCAACCAAUUUCAAGAUAUUGAUAGUUGUUUUAGAUGUCAUGGUUGAUCAAUAUAUUGAUCAACAUUUUAUUGAGUUGAUCAAUAUUUUAAUCAACUUAUGAAUGGUUAAUCAACAUAUUAAAAGAAGUUUAAAUCCUACAGUUAUUUCAUUUCAAAGACUAUGACGAUUCCUCAAAAUAGAUAAUUAUCGCACAAAUAAAUUUUGGGCAGACAUCUUGAAUACAUCUAAUAACAAAUACAACACAACACACAACUACACAACUAUAUAUGUGUGACUAACAACUAACAACUAACAAAAUUCAUCAUAUAAAAAAAAAUAUGAAUGCUCAGUCUUCAUAUUUCACAAAAACACUAUAAAAUCCACAUUGAAUUGAGUUGAUCAAUAUGUUGAUCAACAAAUGCUGACUUGAUCAACCAAAUUAAAGUUGAUUAAUAUAUUGAUCAACAAAUACUUAUAUUGGUUUCAACCAUGUUUAUCAAUAUAUUGUGAUUCUUCAAUUAGUAAAACUAAAUAAGCAAAUUUGAGAGAGAAAUAUCACUUACAUCUUGUGAUUCUUCUUGUUAUGAUUGUUCUCCUUGUUCUUUUUUUUUUUCUGAUUGUUCUUCUUGUUGUGAUUGUUCUUCUUCCAUUUCUUCUUCAUAUGAUUCAAUUAUCUCAUCACCAUCCUUUAAAACCUUUUUAUUUUUCACAGUUUUGCAUC
rnacentral:lncRNA from 1 species